CCUACGGAUGGCAGCAGUGAGGAAUAUUGGUCAAUGGGCGCGAGCCUGAACCAGCCAAGUAGCGUGAAGGAUGACUGCCCUACGGGUUGUAAACUUCUUUUAUAAAGGAAUAAAGUGAGGCACGUGUGCCUUUUUGUAUGUACUUUAUGAAUAAGGAUCGGCUAACUCCGUGCCAGCAGCCGCGGUAAUACGGAGGAUCCGAGCGUUAUCCGGAUUUAUUGGGUUUAAAGGGAGCGUAGAUGGGUUGUUAAGUCAGUUGUGAAAGUUUGCGGCUCAACCGUAAAAUUGCAAUUGAUACUGGCAGUCUUGAGUACAGUUGAGGUAGGCGGAAUUCGUGGUGUAGCGGUGAAAUGCUUAGAUAUCACGAAGAACACCAGUGGCGAAGGCGGAUGACUGGACGGCAACUGACGGUGAGGCGCGAAAGCGUGGGGAGCAAACAGGAUUAGAUACCCUAGUAGUC
rnacentral:rRNA from 1 species